UGGAGGAAAAGAAACCAACAGGGAUUGCCCCAGUAGCGGCGAGUGAAGCGGCAAGAGCUCAGAUUUGAAAUCGUGUUUCGGCACGAGUUGUAGAGUGUAGGCGGGAGUCUCUGUGGAGCGCGGUGUCCAAGUCCCUUGGAACAGGGUGCCUGAGAGGGUGAGAGCCCCGUAGGGUGCUGCGCGAAGCUUUUGAGGCCCUGCUGACGAGUCGAGUUGUUUGGGAAUGCAGCUCCAAGCGGGUGGUAAAUUCCAUCUAAGGCUAAAUAUUGGCGAGAGACCGAUAGCGAACAAGUACUGUGAAGGAAAGAUGAAAAGCACUUUGAAAAGAGAGUGAAACAGCACGUGAAAUUGUUGAAAGGGAAGGGUAUUGGGCUCGACAUGGGGGGUGCGCACCGCUGUCUCUUGUAGGCGGCGCUCUGGGCGCCCUCUGGGCCAGCAUCGGUUCCUGCUGCGGGAGAAGGGGCUCCGGAAAGUGGCUCUUCGGAGUGUUAUAGCCGGGGCCAGAUGCCGCGUGUGGGGACCGAGGACUGCGGCUUCUGUCUCGGAUGCUGGCAUAACGGCGCAAUACCGCCCGUCU
rnacentral:rRNA from 1 species